rnacentral:rRNA from 1 species
UACGUAGGGUGCAAGCGUUAUCCGGAAUUAUUGGGCGUAAAGAGCUCGUAGGUGGUUCGGUAAGUCGGAUGUGAAAUCUCCAGGCUCAACCUGGAGGGGUCAUUCGAUACUGCCGUGACUAGAGUUCGGUAGGGGAGUGUGGAAUUCCUGGUGGAGCGGUGAAAUGCGCAGAUAUCAGGAGGAACACCCGUAGCGAAGGCGGCACUCUGGGCCGAUACUGACACUGAGGAGCGAAAGCGUGGGGAGCGAACAGG